rfam:Rhodococcus sp. EPR-157 Scaffold33_1, whole genome shotgun sequence.
GCGCCAUUAGCUCAGUUGGUUAGAGCAGCUGACUCUUAAUCAGCGGGUCCGGGGUUCGAGUCCCUGAUGGCGCA